rnacentral:tRNA from 1 species
GCUGCCUUGGCGCAGUCGGUAGCGCGCAUCCUUGGUAAGGAUGAGGUCGGCGGUUCAAAUCCGCUAGGCAGCU